AAUAAAAUAUUACAUCCGCCUAAAAUAUCACAUCCCCCAUUGAAAAAACGAAAGCGAGAUUGCGCGUUCAAGUCAUUGCACUUAGAAGUGUAUCAAAUACGUCCGAAACAUUCAAUUAUAAACAAUAUAAUUAAAACGCAACGAGAUUCAUAAAAACGUGUUUCUACUAAUAUACUAUAAAUGAAAUUAGCAUAAAAUGAUAUCAUUUAACAUUGAAGUAGUAUAAACAUUUUCAGUCCUCUAAAGAAUCUCACAAACCUCCUUUAUCUCUCUUUCUGUAUGCAUUAACUUCUUCAUGUGGAAAGACACGCACCAAUACUUCUCCAUUUGUAUAACUUUCAGCAAACUAAAACAAAAGUUUUUGAAUACCUUAUGCCGUCUUCGUAUUAAAUCAGUUUUAAUUGGCAAUUCAUCCAGUGAGAGUAGCCCAGCUGGCUACAGUACUUCGAUUCGAUUCUUCAAAGCAUCAAUAAAUGGAAUGGCAUUCAAUAUAUUGUUUUAUAUUUAGAAUUCAAAUUUUAUUUAAAUGAAGGCAAA